UCAUUGUGUCUAAGCCCAAAGCCAUGAGAUGGAGGAAUACACUCUUCCCUCAUUGAGGAGGUGUUCAGAAAAUAGACCGAAAUAAAUGUUAGAGGAGCAGGAAGUUUGGAGGUCAUGUUGUUAGGAUUGACACCUGUGGAAGGAAGGGAAAUAAGACUGAGAAGAGAGAAGCGGGCCCAUGGAGCAGUUGCAGCAGAGGCCUCAGCUCACCUACCACAGAGCUGUGGAACCUGGAUGCCCUUCAGAGUUGUCCCGAAUGGAGGUAACAAAUUUGAGCCUUUGUACCUUUGAAUCCACAAGUCACUGGACAUAGAAUGUUUCUGGGGAAGAGCAUGACAUUGGGAAAAAUGAAGCUCUUAUGCAGAGAGCAGAUCCAAGAGAGAGAAUCUCUUGAGCUGUCAGCUUCCAUCAUUCCCAGGAGCUGGGGAAUGAGUGCUUUAGUCAUAAAGAUGUAGGGGGAGGCAAUGGGGAUGUCAGAACAGCACAUACUGGCAUGCACUACAAGGAAUAACAUGAACAGCUUGUCUUUUAGGAGCUUACAUGCUAGUGUAGGAGAAACGGAUAAUCAACAAUAAGCAAAAUAAAUAAUCUAUAUGGCAUAUUAGAAAAUAAUGAAUGCCAAGGAAGGUGCACAGUAGAGCCUGAUGAAGAGUAAUUAAAUGCCAGAGGGAAGCAGAGAGGCAGAAUUCAAUAGGAAAAGGGUAGGCUUCAUUGAGCAAAUGAAAUUUGAGCACAGGCUUGAAGGGGGUAAGAAAAUUAACUCUGCAGAAAUGAGCCCGAAGGGAAGAGCAUUUCAGUCAGAAGGAACAGCUGUUCCAAAUCCCAUGAGGUAGGAGCAGGCUUGGUGGGUCUGUGAUACACUACUCCUAAGACCCUUGACAAAUAAAAGCA
rnacentral:lncRNA from 1 species